GACGAACGCUGGCGGCGUGCUUAACACAUGCAAGUCGAACGAAGAGCGAUGGAAGCUUGCUUCUAUCAAUCUUAGUGGCGAACGGGUGAGUAACGCGUAAUCAACCUGCCCUUCAGAGGGGGACAACAGUUGGAAACGACUGCUAAUACCGCAUACGAUCUAAUCUCGGCAUCGAGGAUAGAUGAAAGGUGGCCUCUACAUGUAAGCUAUCACUGAAGGAGGGGAUUGCGUCUGAUUAGCUAGUUGGAGGGGUAACGGCCCACCAAGGCGAUGAUCAGUAGCCGGUCUGAGAGGAUGAACGGCCACAUUGGGACUGAGACACGGCCCAGACUCCUACGGGAGGCAGCAGUGGGGAAUCUUCCGCAAUAGACGAAAGUCUGACGGAGCAACGCCGCGUGAGUGAUGGCGGCCUUCGGGUUGUAAAGCUCUGUUAAUCGGGACGAAAGGCCUUCUUGCGAAUAGUGAGAAGGAUUGACGGUACCGGAAUAGAAAGCCACGGCUAACUACGUG
rnacentral:rRNA from 1 species